GGUUAAGCGACUAAGCGUACACGGUGGAUGCCCUGGCAGUCAGAGGCGAUGAAGGACGUGCUAAUCUGCGAAAAGCGUCGGUAAGGUGAUAUGAACCGUUAUAACCGGCGAUGUCCGAAUGGGGAAACCCAGUGUGAUUCGUCACACUAUCGUUAACUGAAUACAUAGGUUAACGAGGCGAACCGGGGGAACUGAAACAUCUAAGUACCCCGAGGAAAAGAAAUCAACCGAGAUUCCCCCAGUAGCGGCGAGCGAACGGGGAGCAGCCCAGAGUCUGAAUCAGCUUGUGUGUUAGUGGAACGGUCUGGAAAGUCCGACGGUACAGGGUGAUAGUCCCGUACACCAAAAUGCACAGGCUGUGAACUCGAAGAGUAGGGCGGGACACGUGGUAUCCUGUCUGAAUAUGGGGGGACCAUCCUCCAAGGCUAAAUACUCCUGACUGACCGAUAGUGAACCAGUACCGUGAGGGAAAGGCGAAAAGAACCCCGGCGAGGGGAGUGAAAAAGAACCUGAAACCGUGUACGUACAAGCAGUGGGAGCACCUUCGGGUGUGACUGCGUACCUUUUGUAUAAUGGGUCAGCGACUUAUAUUCUGUAGCAAGGUUAACCGUAUAGGGGAGCCGCAGGGAAACCGAGUCUUAACUGGGCGUUAAGUUGCAGGGUAUAGACCCGAAACCCGGUGAUCUAGCCAUGGGCAGGUUGAAGGUUGGGUAACACUAACUGGAGGACCGAACCGACUAAUGUUGAAAAAUUAGCGGAUGACUUGUGGCUGGGGGUGAAAGGCCAAUCAAACCGGGAGAUAGCUGGUUCUCCCCGAAAGCUAUUUAGGUAGCGCCUCGUGAACUCAUCUUCGGGGGUAGAGCACUGUUUCGGCUAGGGGGUCAUCCCGACUUACCAACCCGAUGCAAACUACGAAUACCGAAGAAUGUUAUCACGGGAGACACACGGCGGGUGCUAACGUCCGUCGUGAAGAGGGAAACAACCCAGACCGCCAGCUAAGGUCCCAAAGUCAUGGUUAAGUGGGAAACGAUGUGGGAAGGCACAGACAGCCAGGAUGUUGGCUUAGAAGCAGCCAUCAUUUAAAGAAAGCGUAAUAGCUCACUGGUCGAGUCGGCCUGCGCGGAAGAUGUAACGGGGCUAAACCAUGCACCGAAGCUGCGGCAGCGACACUAUGUGUUGUUGGGUAGGGGAGCGUUCUGUAAGCCUGCGAAGGUGUGCUGUGAGGCAUGCUGGAGGUAUCAGAAGUGCGAAUGCUGACAUAAGUAACGAUAAAGCGGGUGAAAAGCCCGCUCGCCGGAAGACCAAGGGUUCCUGUCCAACGUUAAUCGGGGCAGGGUGAGUCGACCCCUAAGGCGAGGCCGAAAGGCGUAGUCGAUGGGAAACAGGUUAAUAUUCCUGUACUUGGUGUUACUGCGAAGGGGGGACGGAGAAGGCUAUGUUAGCCGGGCGACGGUUGUCCCGGUUUAAGCAUGUAGGCUGGUUGUCCAGGCAAAUCCGGAUAAUCAAGGCUGAGGUGUGAUGACGAGGCACUACGGUGCUGAAGUAACAAAUGCCCUGCUUCCAGGAAAAGCCUCUAAGCAUCAGGUAACAUCAAAUCGUACCCCAAACCGACACAGGUGGUCAGGUAGAGAAUACCAAGGCGCUUGAGAGAACUCGGGUGAAGGAACUAGGCAAAAUGGUGCCGUAACUUCGGGAGAAGGCACGCUGGUGUGUAGGUGAAGUCCCUGCGGAUGGAGCUGAGACCAGUCGAAGAUACCAGCUGGCUGCAACUGUUUAUUAAAAACACAGCACUGUGCAAACACGAAAGUGGACGUAUACGGUGUGACGCCUGCCCGGUGCCGGAAGGUUAAUUGAUGGGGUUAUCCGUAAGGAGAAGCUCUUGAUCGAAGCCCCGGUAAACGGCGGCCGUAACUAUAACGGUCCUAAGGUAGCGAAAUUCCUUGUCGGGUAAGUUCCGACCUGCACGAAUGGCGUAAUGAUGGCCAGGCUGUCUCCACCCGAGACUCAGUGAAAUUGAACUCGCUGUGAAGAUGCAGUGUACCCGCGGCAAGACGGAAAGACCCCGUGAACCUUUACUAUAGCUUGACACUGAACAUUGAGCCUUGAUGUGUAGGAUAGGUGGGAGGCUUUGAAGCGUGGACGCCAGUCUGCGUGGAGCCAACCUUGAAAUACCACCCUUUAAUGUUUGAUGUUCUAACGUUGGCCCCUGACCGGGGUUGCGGACAGUGUCUGGUGGGUAGUUUGACUGGGGCGGUCUCCUCCCAAAGCGUAACGGAGGAGCACGAAGGUUAGCUAAUCCUGGUCGGACAUCAGGAGGUUAGUGCAAUGGCAUAAGCUAGCUUGACUGCGAGCGUGACGGCGCGAGCAGGUGCGAAAGCAGGUCAUAGUGAUCCGGUGGUUCUGAAUGGAAGGGCCAUCGCUCAACGGAUAAAAGGUACUCCGGGGAUAACAGGCUGAUACCGCCCAAGAGUUCAUAUCGACGGCGGUGUUUGGCACCUCGAUGUCGGCUCAUCACAUCCUGGGGCUGAAGUAGGUCCCAAGGGUAUGGCUGUUCGCCAUUUAAAGUGGUACGCGAGCUGGGUUUAGAACGUCGUGAGACAGUUCGGUCCCUAUCUGCCGUGGGCGCUGGAGAAUUGAGGGGGGCUGCUCCUAGUACGAGAGGACCGGAGUGGACGCAUCACUGGUGUUCGGGUUGUCAUGCCAAUGGCACUGCCCGGUAGCUAAAUGCGGAAGAGAUAAGUGCUGAAAGCAUCUAAGCACGAAACUUGCCCCGAGAUGAGUUCUCCCUGAGACUUUAAGUCUCCUGAAGGAACGUUGAAGACGACGACGUUGAUAGGCCGGGUGUGUAAGCGCAGCGAUGCGUUGAGCUAACCGGUACUAAUGAACCGUGAGGCUUAACCUU
rnacentral:rRNA from 1 species